GAUGAACGCUGGCGGCGUGCCUAAUACAUGCAAGUCGAGCGAACAGACGAGGAGCUUGCUCCUCUGACGUUAGCGGCGGACGGGUGAGUAACACGUGGAUAACCUACCUAUAAGACUGGGAUAACUUCGGGAAACCGGAGCUAAUACCGGAUAGUAUAUUGAACCGCAUGGUUCAAUAGUGAAAGACGGUUUUGCUGUCACUUAUAGAUGGAUCCGCGCCGCAUUAGCUAGUUGGUAAGGUAACGACUUACCAAGGCAACGAUGCGUAGCCGACCUGAGAGGGUGAUCGGCCACACUGGAACUGAGACACGGUCCAAACUCCUACGGGAGGCAGCAGUAGGGAAUCUUCCGCAAUGGGCGAAAGCUUGACGGAGCAACGCCGCGUGAGUGAUGAAGGUCUUCGGAUCGUAAAACUCUGUUAUUAGGGAAGAACAAAUGUGUAAGUAACUAUGCACGUCUUGACGGUACCUAAUCAGAAAGCCACGGCUAACUACGUG
rnacentral:rRNA from 1 species